rnacentral:RNase_P_RNA from 1 species
GGAGUUGACCAGACAGUCGCCGCUUCAUUGCCGUCCUCUUCGGGGAGACAGAUGGAGGGGAGGAAAGUCCGGGCUCCAUAGGGCAGGGUGCCAGGUAACGCCUGGGAGGCGCAAGCCUACGACUAGUGCAACAGAGAGCAAAAAACUCCACCCGGAGCAAGGCCAAAUAGGGGUUCACAUGGUACGGCCCGUACUGAACCCGGGUAGGCUGCUUGAGCCAGUGAGCGAUUGCUGGCCUAGAGGAAUGACUGUCCACGACAGAACCCGGCUUACCGGUCAACUCCCUCG